rnacentral:tRNA from 1 species
GGUAUCGUCAAGUGGUAAGACAAUUGUUUUUGGUACAAAUAUUCAAAGGUUCGAAUCCUUUUACC